UACAGAGGUCUCAAGCGUUGUUCGGAAUCACUGGGCGUAAAGGGUGCGUAGGCCGCACGGUAAGUCAGAGGUGAAAUCCCGGAGCUCAACUCCGGAAAUGCCUCCGAUACUGCCGUGCUUGAGGACUGGAGAGGAGUCUGGAAUUCACAGUGGAGCAGUGAAAUGCGUAGAUAUUGUGAGGAACACUAGUGGCGAAGGCGAGACUCUGGACAGUUCCUGACGCUGAGGCACGAAGGCCAGGGGAGCAAACGGG
rnacentral:rRNA from 1 species